GGAUUGGGAGGGUUCUACGGAACCCGUUUGGUGAAUCUAGUGCCGAGAAAAGCCUUCUAUGUGUUGAAUUUCUAGUACCCGUACCCCAAACCGACACAGGUGGGUGGGUAGAGCAUACCUAGGGGCGCGUGAUAACUCUCUCUAAGGAACUCGGCAAAAUGGCCCUGUAACUUCGGGAUAAGGGGUGCCUGCGUGAGCAGGCCGCAGUGAAAUGGCUCUGGCGACUGUUUACCAAAAACACAGGUCUCUGCUAAGUCGUAAGACGAUGUAUAAGGGCUGACUCCUGCCCAGUGCCGGAAGGUUAAGGAAGUUGGUUAGCGCAAGCGAAGCUGGCGACCGAAGCCCCGGUGAACGGCGGCCGUAACGAUAACGGUCCUAAGGUAGCGAAAUUCCUUGUCGGGUAAGUUCCGACCCGCACGAAAGGAGUAACGAUCAGAGCGCUGUCUCGGAGAGAGACACGGCGAAAUAGGAUUGUCCGUGAAGAUACGGACUACCUGCACCCGGACAGAAAGACCCUAUGAAGCUUUACUGUAACUUGGAAUUGUGUUCGGACUUUGUCUGCGCAGAAUAGGUGGGAGGCUAUGAAACGUUCCUCGCGGGGAACUGGAGCCAUCGUUGAGAUACCACUCUGGCAGAGUCUGGAUUCUAACCUACGGGGACAGUUCCAGGUGGGCAGUUUGACUGGGGCGGUCGCCUCCUAAAAUGUAACGGAGGCGCGCAAAGGUUCCCUCAGGCUGGUUGGAAAUCAGCCAUAGAGUGUGAAAGCAUAAGGGAGCUUGACUGUGAGACCUACAAGUCGAGCAGGGACGAAAGUCGGCUUUAGUGAUCCGACGGCACUGAGUGGAAGGGCCGUCGCUCAACGGAUAAAAGUUACUCUAGGAUAACAGGCUGAUCUCCCCCAAGAGUUCACAUCGACGGGGAGGUUUGGCACCUCGAUGUCGGCUCGUCGCAACCUGGGGCGGUAGUACGUCCCAAGGGUUGGGCUGUUCGCCCAUUAAAGCGGCACGUGAGCUGGGUUCAGAACGUCGUGAGACAGUUCGGUCCAUAUCCGGUGUAGGCGUAGGAGCAUUGAAAGGAUCUCUCCUUAGUACGAGAGGACCGGGAGGGACGUACCUCUGGUGUACCUGUUAUCGUGCCAACGGUAAACGCAGGGUAGCCAUGUACGGAGUGGAUAACCGCUGAAAGCAUCUAAGUGGGAAGCCCACCUUAAGAUGAGUGCUCCCUUGAGGCCACGGGAAGACGACCCGUUUGAUGGGCGCUAGGUGGAAGUGCAGUAAUGCAUGCAGCCGAGGCGUACUAAUAGGCCGAUGGCUUGUCCA
rnacentral:rRNA from 1 species